CGAGACAUUAUAAGAAAAAGGGCAACCUUUCUCUUUGACUCUCUUGACCUCAAAUCAGGUAGGACUACCCGCUGAACUUAAGCAUAUCAAUAAGCGGAGGAAAAGAAACUAACAAGGAUUCCCCUAGUAACUGCGAGUGAAGCGGGAAAAGCUCAAAUUUAAAAUCUGGCGGUUCUGCCGC
rnacentral:rRNA from 1 species